rnacentral:rRNA from 1 species
CCUACGGGAGGCAGCAGUGGGGAAUAUUGGGCAAUGGGCGCAAGCCUGACCCAGCAACGCCGCGUGAAGGAAGAAGGCUUUCGGGUUGUAAACUUCUUUUGUUAGGGACGAAGCCAGUGACGGUACCUGACGAAUAAGCCACGGCUAACUACGUGCGAGCAGCCGCGGUAAUACGUAGGUGGCACGCGUUAUCCGGAUUUAUUGGGUGUAAAGGGCGUGUUGGCGGGAAUGCAAGUCAGAUGUGAAAACUAUGGGCUCAACCCAGAGCCUGCAUUUGAAACUGUAUUUCUUGAGUGCUGGAGAGGCAAUCGGAAUUCCGGGUGUAGCGGUGAAAUGCGUAGAUAUACGGAGGAACACCAGUGGCGAAGGCAGAUUGCUGGACAGUAACUGACGCUGAGGCGCGAAAGCGUGGGGAGCAAACAGGAUUAGAUACCCGAGUAGUC